rnacentral:rRNA from 1 species
UAAUACGUAGGAGGCGAGCGUUGUCCGGAGUUACUGGGCGUAAAGCGUGGGUAGGCGGCUCUGUGCGUCUGUGGUGAAAUCUCCCGGCUUACCUGGGAGGGGGUCAUGGAUACGGCAGGGCUUGAGGGCGUGAGAGGCUUGUAGAACUCCCGGUGGACCAGUGAAAUGGGUAGAGAUCGGGAAGAAUACCAGUGGUGCAGACGGCAAGCUGGCGCGUACCUGACGCUGAGCCACGAAAGCAUGGGGAGCAAACAGGAUUAGAUACCCUGGUAGUCCAUGCGGUAAACGAUGUCCACUAGGUGUGCGGGGUAUCGACCCCCUGCGUGCCGGAGCUAACGCACGAAGUGGACCGCCUGGGGAGUACGGCCGCAAGGUU